rnacentral:rRNA from 1 species
UGGGGAAUAUUGCACAAUGGGGGAAACCCUGAUGCAGCGACGCCGCGUGAGCGAUGAAGGCUUUCGAGUCGUAAAGCUCUGUCCUAUGGGAAGAUAAUGACGGUACCAUAGAAGAAAGCCCCGGCUAAAUACGUGCCAGCAGCCGCGGUAAUACGUAUGGGGCAAGCGUUAUCCGGAUUUACUGGGUGUAAAGGGAGCGUAGGCGGCAGUACAAGUCGGGAGUGAAAACUCGGGGCUCAACCCCGAGACUGCUCUCGAAACUGUACAGCUAGAGUGCAGGAAGGGCAGGCGGAAUUCCUGGUGUAGCGGUGAAAUGCGUAGAUAUCAGGAGGAACACCGGUGGCGAAGGCGGCCUGCUGGACUGUAACUGACGCUGAGGCUCGAAAGCGUGGGGAGCGAACAGG